rnacentral:rRNA from 1 species
GACGAACGCUGGCGGCGUGCCUAAUACAUGCAAGUUGAGCGCUGAAGGUUGGUACUUGUACCAACUGGAUGAGCAGCGAACGGGUGAGUAGCGCGUGGGGAAUCUGCCUUUGAGCGGGGGACAACAUUUGGAAACGAAUGCUAAUACCGCAUAAAAACUUUAAACACAAGUUUUAAGUUUGAAAGAUGCAAUUGCAUCACUCAAAGAUGAUCCCGCGUUGUAUUAGCUAGUUGGUGAGGUAAAGGCUCACCAAGGCGAUGAUACAUAGCCGACCUGAGAGGGUGAUCGGCCACAUUGGGACUGAGACACGGCCCAAACUCCUACGGGAGGCAGCAGUAGGGAAUCUUCGGCAAUGGACGAAAGUCUGACCGAGCAACGCCGCGGGAGUGAAGAAGGUUGUCGGAUCGUAAAACUCUGUUGGUAGAGAAGAACGUUGGUGAGAGUGGAAAGCUCAUCAAGUGACGGUAACUACCCAGAAAGGGACGGCUAACUACGUG